CAGGCUGUUUCUCUUCUCAUACACUCCUUUCUCUUUUUUUUCUGCUUCUCCUUCUUUUGUUCUCUCUCACGGCUGGUUCUGUGACGAGGUUCAAGGCAGAAGAGACUGAGUAGAGAAAUGGGAUCAGGCUGACAAUCUCAACUCAUCAAGUAAUGAUAAUAACAGUAAAAAAAGAAAAGCAGGAGCUGAAGAAACAUGAGAAGGUGUGGAGCUAAACAUAUGUGUGUGUGUGGGUGUGCCCAAAAAGUGCAGAGGGAAAAGAAGGAACACAAAGAGACAAGUUUGUUGGGAGAAAAGAAGAAGGAAGAUACUAGCGCAUGGAUUCAUAAAGCGCGGACCACAGACGACUUCAUGUGUGUGUGUUCUGGCUCACUGAGGUGUAGUGCCCUCUUACCUCAGCGCUCAGGAAUG